rnacentral:rRNA from 1 species
GAUGAACGCUGGCGGCGUGCCUAAUACAUGCAAGUCGAGCGAACAGACGAGGAGCUUGCUCCUCUGACGUUAGCGGCGGACGGGUGAGUAACACGUGGAUAACCUACCUAUAAGACUGGGAUAACUUCGAGAAACCGGAGCUAAUACCGGAUAAUAUAUUGAACCGCAUGGUUCAAUAGUGAAGGUCGGUUUUGCUGUCCCUUAUAGAUGGAUCCGCGCCUCAUUAGCUAGUUGGUAAGGUAACGGCUUACCAAGGCAACGAUGCGUAGCCGACCUGAGAGGGUGAUCGGCCACACUGGAACUGAGACACGGCCCAGACUCCUACGGGAGGCAGCAGUAGGGAAUCUUCCGCAAUGGGCGAAAGCCUGACGGAGCAACGCCGCGUGAGUGAUGAAGGUCUUCGGAUCGUAAAACUCUGUUAGUAGGGAAGAACGAAUGUGUAUGUAACUAUGCCCGUCUUGACGGUACCUCAUCAGAAAGCCCCGGCUAACUACGUG